CCUUUUUCUUCUUCCAGUUCUCUCAUCAGAACCCUCUUUUUCUCCAGUGUCUUGUUUAUUAAAGAUAGGGUUUCUCUGUGUAGCCCUGGCUGUUCUGAAACUUGCUGUGUAGACCAGGCAGGCCCUGCUGGCAACCAUCCUUCAGUGAUCUGCCUGCCUCUGCCUCCCAAGUUCUGGGAUGAAAGUGCCACCACCUCCCAACCAGUAUCGGAUUAAGGCACCUUCAGACUAACCAUUUCUGUCUCGGAAUUCCAUAGUGCAAAAGUUCUAAGAGAGCUCAAGAUUUUUGGGUGUCAGCUGAAGGUAUUGGGCCAACACCCCCAGCCCCACCCCCAACCCAUUUAAAAACUUUGGGUUUGUGCCAGGCAAGGAUUUGUGUGGCCUUUGAUUUUUUGCAUAGAGUAAACACCUUCUUAGCCCCUUUC